rnacentral:sRNA from 19 species
UAUAAUGAAUAUGAGAAAAAUCAGCGAUAAAUGCUAAUCUUCAUUCGAAGGUAGUAUUACCCCCAAAGGGGUAACCAUUCUUGUCCGGUGUCAAACAGGCAUAAAAAAAAGCGCCCGGAGGCGCUUUUUAAGCAGAG